GACGAACGCUGGCGGCGUGCCUAAUACAUGCAAGUAGAACGCUGAAGAGAGGAGCUUGCUCUUCUUGGAUGAGUUGCGAACGGGUGAGUAACGCGUAGGUAACCUGCCUUGUAGCGGGGGAUAACUAUUGGAAACGAUAGCUAAUACCGCAUAACAAUGAGUGACACAUGUCAUUUAUUUGAAAGGGGCAAUUGCUCCACUACAAGAUGGACCUGCGUUGUAUUAGCUAGUAGGUGAGGUAACGGCUCACCUAGGCGACGAUACAUAGCCGACCUGAGAGGGUGAUCGGCCACACUGGGACUGAGACACGGCCCAGACUCCUACGGGAGGCAGCAGUAGGGAAUCUUCGGCAAUGGGGGCAACCCUGACCGAGCAACGCCGCGUGAGUGAAGAAGGUUUUCGGAUCGUAAAGCUCUGUUGCAAGUCAAGAACGAGUGUGAGAGUGGAAAGUUCACACUGUGACGGUAGCUUACCAGAAAGGGACGGCUAACUACGUGCCAGCAGCCGCGGUAAUACGUAGGUCCCGAGCGUUGUCCGGAUUUAUUGGGCGUAAAGCGAGCGCAGGCGGUUUGAUAAGUCUGAAGUUAAAGGCUGUGGCUCAACCAUAGUUCGCUUUGGAAACUGUCAAACUUGAGUGCAGAAGGGGAGAGUGGAAUUCCAUGUGUAGCGGUGAAAUGCGUAGAUAUAUGGAGGAACACCGGUGGCGAAAGCGGCUCUCUGGUCUGUAACUGACGCUGAGGCUCGAAAGCGUGGGGGAGCGAACAGG
rnacentral:rRNA from 1 species